CUCAUAGAUUCAAUUCUAUCUGGUAGUAAGAUAUACAAUGAUCUCUAUCAAAGUAUCAUUGAAACUCUUUUCAAUGAGUUAGAACAAUUUCACUCUAACUCAUUAAGGAUUGUCGAUCCGGAACAACCCUAGUGAGCUCUCAUAAUCUACCAGUGACAUCUAGCAGUAUGUAAUGGCAACCCAGUAAAAUUGAAAUAAAUCUUUAGGUAUAGUUAAUGUGUGAUUCAGUCCCUCUAUCGUGA
rnacentral:lncRNA from 1 species